CUUGACGACCAUAGCAAGGUGGUCCCACGCCUUCCCAUCCCGAACAGGACCGUGAAACGCCUUUGCGCCGAUGAUAGUUGGCAUUCGCCUGUGAAAGUAGGUCAUCGUCAGGCUCUUACACCCCAAAGCCCCCGC
rnacentral:rRNA from 1 species